rnacentral:rRNA from 1 species
CGGGCAGUGCGGCGGCUAUACAUGCAGUCGAGCGAAUGGAUUAAGAGCUUGCUCUUAUGAAGUUAGCGGCGGACGGGUGAGUAACACGUGGGUAACCUGCCCAUAAGACUGGGAUAACUCCGGGAAACCGGGGCUAAUACCGGAUAACAUUUUGAACCGCAGGGUUCGAAAUUGAAAGGCGGCUUCGGCUGUCACUUAUGGAUGGACCCGCGUCGCAUUAGCUAGUUGGUGAGGUAACGGCUCACCAAGGCAACGAUGCGUAGCCCACCUGAGAGGGUGAUCGGCCACACUGGGACUGAGACACGGCCCAGACUCCUACGGGAGGCAGCAGUAGGGAAUCUUCCGCAAUGGACGAAAGUCUGACGGAGCAACGCCACGUGAGUGAUGAAGGCUUUCGGGUCGUAAAACUCUGUUGUUAGGGAAGAACAAGUGCUAGUUGAAUAAGCUGGCACCUUGACGGUACCUAACCAGAAAGCCACGGCUAACUACGUGCCAGCAGCCGCGGUAAUACGUAGGUGGCAAGCGUUAUCCGGAAUUAUUGGGCGUAAAGCGCGCGCAGGUGGUUUCUUAAGUCUGAUGUGAAAGCCCACGGCUCAACCGUGGAGGGUCAUUGGAAACUGGGAGACUUGAGUGCAGAAGAGGAAAGUGGAAUUCCAUGUGUAGCGGUGAAAUGCGUAGAGAUAUGGAGGAACACCAGUGGCGAAGGCGACUUUCUGGUCUGUAACUGACACUGAGGCGCGAAAGCGUGGGGAGAAAACAGGGAUGAACCCCCGGGGGGGAAAA